ensembl:lncRNA
AGAAUUUGGCAUGGUGGGAGUGCUGCACAGCGUGAGGUAAUACAGUAGGGGGAGUGCUGCUCAGCGUGUGGUAAUACAGUAGGGGGAGUGCUGCUCAGCGUGAGGUAAUACAGUAGGGGGAGUGCUGCUCAGCGUGAGGUAAUACAGUAGGGGGAGUGCUGCUCAGUGUGAGGUAAUACAAGAACGUACUCGGAGAAUGAGAGUCAGUCUGUGUGUCAGUCUGUGUGUCAGUCUAUGUGUCAGUCUGUGUGUCAGUCUGUGUGUCAGUCUGUGUGUCAGUCUGUGUGUCAGUCUGUGUGUCUGUCUGUGUGUCAGUCUGUGUGUCAGUCUGUGUGUCAGUGCAUGAUACUGUGUUCAACACUGCAUGUCAGAGCUCAGUAAACCACGGUUCAGCUGGGUCCAUGAUGCGGUCUCUGACACACACACACACACACACACACACACACACACACACA